rnacentral:pre_miRNA from 1 species
UAAUGUAAGGGCCAAAUCCAAACCCCAGUGAAGUCAGUUGCAGUCUUUCCAUUGACUUCACUGGGGUUUGGAUUUGGCCCUCUAAUA